rnacentral:lncRNA from 1 species
AGCAAAUCUGCUCGUCCCUAGACAGAUAGGGCGAGAGGAAAAAAUGGCCAUUUCGAGAAAAUGGAAAAGGUUGAUACAGUAUGUUUGUGUCUUGUUUUGUCUCAGUGUAUUGUAUUGUCUUUGUGAUGAAAACAUGGAAGGGGUGAGAAGUAAAUUACUAAGGGAAGGAGGCACCCCAGUGGAACCAAGAAUAGUUAGGGCAUGUGUUGAUAAGAGCCCAGGAACUCUAGUCAGAAAGAAAAAGAAAGUUCAGAAGAAGAAGGAUUAUCAGGAAAAAAGUUGCAGCAAAAGGCUAUUACUAAAUACUUUUCGUUACCGGAGGGUGUGUGAAGCGGAGAGGCGGCUGCCAAGUGUGCAAGCCGGUCACAGCGCAGCAAGGAUUUUCCAAGAGGCUGAGGCGACUGGCCCUUCCCCGCCUCCUGGCCGGGGAGCUGGCUCUUCCACUGCCGUGAACCCAAAUCUAGACCUGACCUGGAGGCACAGUCUCGCAGGCUCUUGCUCCCUGUGCCCAGUAGCAGUUUGAGUCCAGGACACUCCCCAGGGCCAUCUGGGUCUGCCCAGGCACUACAGCCAGCAGAAGCCGCUACUGGUGUCCCUGAUGUUUGGUCAUUUUCAAUGCCAAUAACUAAGCUACAAUGGUUCUCCCAUACCUGGAAGCUAAUGAGUAAUUAUUACCAUUAAGGCUUAUUUCAAAUGUAAAAAACCUUGAGAUAAUGUACUAAAUUGUUCAGAAGGUUGUUUUCUUAGUAGAAUGCUACAGGAUUUUCCAUCCGGUGUUCCUGCCUUCAUCCCAGUGCCGGUGAGGAGGAGGGUGAAAGAAUUUCUAGUGUUGCUGAAAACCAGACGAGACUUCAGAUCAAGCUAGUUGCCUGCAGAACUUACCUGGACUGUGAUUUAAGCUAGCUGCCUGCAGAACUUACCUGGACUGUGAUUUACCUGGACUGUGAGUUAAUCUAUUGAGACACUGCUUUACCUGGACUGAGACAACAAACUGUAAUCUACAACAAAUUGUAACUCAGUAUCUUUGCUAAUGGUGUCAUUUUUUGUAUAAUUUUUCCAAGGGCUUCUUGCAUGGAGCCAUCAAUUGGCUUGGUAUUGUGGCAUUUUGUAUCCUCCCCUUCUGUUUGUAGCAGGUUAUUUAUGGUGUUUCUGUAAAAACCACUAUGGUCGUUAUUUAAAUUAAACAAAAGGGGGAAAUGUUGGAGUCUGUAAACAAGUCAAAAUAACACCUGGCAUUUUGCCAGGGGAAUGUUAGAGUUUGUAAACAAGUCUGGAUGGUGCCUGGCAAAAUGCCAGAGGGAGUGGUUUGAGAAGUAACAAAAGCGAGCCAUUAAGUGUGGAGAUUCCUGAUUGGUUGACUGCUGUAUUUAGUUUAUGCUAAUUAGAUAAGCUGUGUGGAAUGUAUAAAUACUGCUCCUGUCCUGCAAUAAACGGCUCCC